UACGCCUAACAGGAUAUAACUAUCCCUCA
rnacentral:misc_RNA from 1 species